rnacentral:lncRNA from 1 species
GUGGAAGCUCCGAACCACUAUAAAACCCUGUGUUUGCGAUUGACCUUUCUCUUUCCCCCUUCUUUACUUUAGUGCAUAGAUUCGUGUGUUUUAUUUUUAAUUAGUCAAAAGUUUUUAAAACACCCAAUUCACCCCCCUCUUGGGUGACCAUCUCUGGGCAACAAGUGGUAUCAGAGCGGGUGCUCUGUGUAUUUCUUGAAAGACCUAACCGUCUUAGCCAAAGAUCUAGAUGGCAACACCCUUUAACAAUGUUCCUGCCGAGGGGCAAGCAACCAAUAGACCUCCACUCUUCAAUGGGACAAAUUAUACCUAUUGGAAGACGAGAAUGAGAAUUUUCAUUCAAGCACAAGACUAUGCCUUGUGGAGGGUUAUAGUCAAGGGACCACAAGNNN